CUAUCCAUUAGGGCUAGGGUUUCCCCCACCCUUUCCAGGUCCUGGACCUCCCUCAACUUCCCCUCCUCAGGGCAAGGAGGCAUAGCUUUGCUAUUAAUCUUGUUUUGCUGCUCAUAUAUGGUUGCAAAUGAAUUUCCUAUAUUGAAUUGUGGUUCUUUGAUAACUAUUCCUCUUAUAGUGUUACCCUUCAUGUAGUAGAAAUUGUCUUUUCUUGGUUGCACCAUCAACUGCUUUCCUUCCCUCUGAUAUAUAACAGUUGUCUCCUUGUUCAUUGUUGUUCUAUUUUCUUUGUGUUCUCCAUUUCUUAUCUUAUUUGUCACAUUUUUCCUUCUUCUUCCUUUGCAACUGUCUUAUUGUUUGUCUCUUCUCUUAUGUAUUUUCUGCAUUCCUUUAAUUCAUGCCAAAAUUUUUGCACUUUGUACAUAAUAUUGGUUUCCAUUCGAAUUGAAGAUCUUGUUUCGCAAUGUAUCCAUGCUCAUUCUCAAAUAUAAUUGUGUCUAGAAAUAGCUUAUUUAUGGGUACUCCACCAUUACUCUAGAAAAUGUCAUUCUCUCCUUCAUUAUAGUGGCUUUGUCUGCUUUUAGUGGAUUGCCAACUUGCCUGAUAUUUUUGCUAAUGCUUGUUUUUCCCAAUACUUUACAUUCAAUCCGGAAGCCUGAUCCAUACUGGUAUGUUAUCCAUUAUCUGCUUCCUAAUUUCAAUUUCUGGUUGCCAAUGCUCGACUAUAACUGGCUUUCUGUCGAACAUCUGAACUCCAUCUUUUACUACUUUUUUGCGACUUUCAAGUGUGUGAUAUCUGACGAGGAACACUCCUCUAUGGACUUGUGCAACUUUAUCAAUUUCAACCCUUCCUAAAUUCUGUUGAAGUAUCCUUCAAUGACUGUUUGAGGUGGAUUUGAGCCCAGCACAUAACAUACUACCCCUAUUUUCCAGUAUUCCACCUCCUCAUGGAUGUCUUCUAGAGUUACUUUCACAUUGCUUCUAGUAGGUGUUUCAUGUUUCAAAUCUUCAUCUUGUUCCAUUGGAACAGUUCCUACAAUCUUACUCCACGAAGGUCUAGUGGUUUGUGUCUUACUCUAUUCAGCAAGUGUAAUUGCUUCCUUCUCCACCAUAUCAGCCCCACGAUCUUCUACUUGCAUCACUCCUCCCCUUUGUAGUUUUAUUCUCUAUCUUCGCUGGUAUUAUAGUUGGCGUUGAAGUUUCUGAUACUCAAUCCAUGUCCAAUAGUCCAAUUUCAUGAAUCUUCUGUCAUAGGAACACCUUUUCAUCCUUGAUUUUGACUCGGAUUUACCAUUUGAGUGCUUUGCACUCUCGCCCCAAUCUUCGAUUUCCUACCAUAUUCAGGUUAGCUGAGAGAAAGUUUCAUUCUAGAGGGAGAAAUUUUGCACCCGCUAUCAACUGUUCUUUAUUGUUUGUAUGUGAUCAAGUUAAGCGGGAAUUCACAUGUGAAAAUUUUGGUCAACAAUUGCUUGUUUGAUUGAAUAUUUGGAGCGCGAUAAUAGCCGUUUUAUAUAGAGUAAUCAAGAAUGAUGAAGGACUCUUCUAGCAUGUCAAAAAAAUGAAUCAUGAAUUUUACUCGAACUUUAGAAGUUAAC
rnacentral:lncRNA from 1 species